rnacentral:rRNA from 1 species
UACAGAGGUCUCAAGCGUUGUUCGGAUUCAUUGGGCGUAAAGGGUGCGUAGGCGGCGCGGUAAGUCGGGUGUGAAAUCUCGGAGCUUAACUUCCGAAACUGCAUUCGAUACUGCCGUGCUUGAGGACUGGAGAGGAGACUGGAAUUUACGGUGUAGCGGUGAAAUGCGUAGAUAUCGUAAGGAAGACCAGUGGCGAAGGCGGGUCUCUGGACAGUUCCUGACGCUGAGGCACGAAGGUCAGGGGAGCAAACGGG